rnacentral:tRNA from 1 species
AAGAUGUAAAAGUUAAUUUGCAAUUAACGAACAAGGUACAUCA